rnacentral:tRNA from 1 species
UCCCUAGUGGCUCAGAUGGUAAAGCAUCUGUCUGCAAUGCAGGAGACCCGGGUUCUAUUUCUGGGUCGGGAA